UCUCCUUUCAAUCCAAGUGUGCAUGAUA
rnacentral:sRNA from 1 species